rnacentral:tRNA from 1 species
UCUUCCUUAGUAUAGUGGUGAGUAUCCCUUCUUGCCACACAGGAGACCAGGGUUCGAUUCCCUGAUGGGGAG